CCGUAACUAUAACGGUCCUAAGGUAGCGAAAUUCCUUGUCGGGUAAGUUCCGACCCGCACGAAAGGCGUAAUGAUUUGAGCACUGUCUCGACAAUGCAUCCGGUGAAAUUGAAGUACCAGUGAAGAUGCUGGUUACCCGCGCCAGGACGGAAAGACCCCAUGGAGCUUUACUCCAGUUUGAUACUGGGAUUCGGUACUGCAUGUACAGGAUAGGUGGGAGACGGAGAAGGAUGGACGCCAGUCUGUCCGGAGUCGCUGUUGGGAUACCACCCCUGUAGUACUGGGUUUCUAACCAGUUGCCAUAAACUGGCAAUGGGACAAUGUCAGGCGGGGAGUUUGACUGGGGCGGUCGCCUCCGAAAGGGUAUCGGAGGCGCUCAAAGGUUCCCUCAGAAUGGUUGGAAACCAUUUGAAGAGUGCAAAGGCAGAAGGGAGCUUGACUGCGACACCGACGGGUGGAGCAGGUACGAAAGUAGGACUUAGUGAUCCGGUGGUAUAAAGUGGGAUUGCCAUCGCUCAACGGAUAAAAGCUACCCUGGGGAUAACAGGCUUAUCACUCCCAAGAGUUCACAUCGACGGAGUGGUUUGGCACCUCGAUGUCGGCUCAUCGCAUCCUGGGGCUGUAGUAGGUCCCAAGGGUUGGGCUGUUCGCCCAUUAAAGCGGUACGCGAGCUGGGUUCAGAACGUCGUGAGACAGUUCGGUCCCUAUCCGGCGCGGGCGGAGGAUAUUUGAGAGGAGCUGUCCUUAGUACGAGAGGACCGGGAUGGACGGACCACUGGUGUAUCUGUUGUCGACCAACGGCAUGGCAGAGUAGCCAAGUCUGGAAGGGAUAAACGCUGAAGGCAUCUAAGCGUGAAGCCCCCCUCAAGAUGAGAUAUCCCUCCUUCGGGAGUAAGACCCCUUGAAGACUACAAGGUAGAUAGGGCAGAGGUGGAAGCAUGGCAACAUGUGGAGCUGACUGUUACUAAUAGGUCGAGGGCUUAAUCUG
rnacentral:rRNA from 1 species